CAUGUCCAGGGAGAUUGAUUCGACGCCUGCAAAAUUGAAAUCAAGAAGAACCGCUUAGUUUGUAAGAUCUGAGCUUUCAUUCUUUAAUAAAGACAAUAUUACAAAAAAUUUUAAAAAUUCCCUCUCCGUUUAUUGAUGAGAUGACAAACAGAGGUUAUAUUAAAGGGGAGGGAAGAAAUUUAAUACCUGAAAGGCCAGAGACUUUCUUCAUGGC
rnacentral:misc_RNA from 1 species